AGUCGAACGAGUUCUGAUUAUUGAAAGGUGCUUGCAUCUUGAUUUAAUUUUGAACGAGUGGCGGACGGGUGAGUAACACGUGGGUAACCUGCCCUUAAGUGGGGGAUAACAUUUGGAAACAGAUGCUAAUACCGCAUAAAUCCAAAAACCGCAUGGUUCUUGGCUGAAAGAUGGCGUAAGCUAUCGCUUUUGGAUGGACCCGCGGCGUAUUAGCUAGUUGGUGAGGUAACGGCUCACCAAGGCAAUGAUACGUAGCCGAACUGAGAGGUUGAUCGGCCACAUUGGGACUGAGACACGGCCCAAACUCCUACGGGAGGCAGCAGUAGGGAAUCUUCCACAAUGGACGCAAGUCUGAUGGAGCAACGCCGCGUGAGUGAAGAAGGCUUUCGGGUCGUAAAACUCUGUUGUUGGAGAAGAAUGGUCGGCAGAGUAACUGUUGUCGGCGCGACGGUAUCCAACCAGAAAGCCACGGCUAACUACGUGCCAGCAGCCGCGGUAAUACGUAGGUGGCAAGCGUUAUCCGGAUUUAUUGGGCGUAAAGCGAGCGCAGGCGGUUUUUUAAGUCUGAUGUGAAAGCCCUCGGCUUAACCGAGGAAGUGCAUCGGAAACUGGGAAACUUGAGUGCAGAAGAGGACAGUGGAACUCCAUGUGUAGCGGUGAAAUGCGU
rnacentral:rRNA from 1 species